rnacentral:rRNA from 1 species
GGGGGAAAAAUUAAUAUAAAAUUAUAAAUAAAAAAAAAAUUUUUAAUAAAAAUAUUAGGGGGUUAAAGUAUUUUUAAAGAAAAAAUUAAUAAAUUUAUAGUUAAAUAGUAUUGCAAAAGAAUUUUGAAAUAAUAGAAAAUUAAUUUUUUUAAAAGUAAAUUUUAUUUAUUGUAUCUUGUGUAUCAGAGUUUAUUAAUAAAAUAUUAUAGGUAAAAUUUUCUCGAAUUUUAAAGAGUUAAUUAAUUAAUAAAGUUAAUGUGGAAUAAUUAUUUUAAAUAAUUAAUUGGAAAUGAAAUGUUAAUCGUUUUAAAAUAUAUCUAGUUUUUUUAGAAAUAAAUUUAAUUUAAAGUAUUAAUUAUUAAUUUUUUUUUUAAAAAAAAAUUAAUAAAAUUAAUACUUAAUAUUUUAAGGGAUAAGCUUUAAAAUAAAAUUUUAUAAUAAUUAUUUAAAAAAUAUUAAAAUUUUAGAAUUUAAAUUGUUAAAAAAUUAUAAUUUUUUAUAAAAAAUUUAAUAUAAAAUAAAAUUUAAAAUAAAAUUUAAUUUUAUAUGAAAAAAUAAUUUUUAAUAAAUAAAAAUUAGUUAUAAUGAUAAAAUUAUAUUUUAAUAAAUAAAAAUUAGUUAUAAUGAUAAAAUUAGUAUAUUUAUUUAUUAAAAUACUUUUAAUAAUUAUAAAAAUAAAAAAAAGUUAUAAUAAGGAAUUCGGCAAAAUUUUAUAUUCACUUGUUUAUCAAAAACAUGUCUUUUUGAAAAUAAUAUAAAGUCUAAUCUGCCCACUGAUUAAUUAUUAAAGGGCUGCAGUAUAUUGACUGUACAAAGGUAGCAUAAUCAUUUGUCUCUUAAUUGGUGACUUGUAUGAAAGAUUGAAUGAAAUAUAAACUGUCUCAUUAUAAUUUAUAAAAUUUAAUUUUUUAGUAAAAAAGCUAAAAUUUAUUUAAAAGACGAGAAGACCCUAUAGAGUUUUAUAUUUUUUUUAAAAAUAAUAAAAUAUAAAUUUUUAAAUUAUAUUUAAUUAAAUUAUUUUGUUGGGGUGACAAAAAAAUUUAAUUAACUUUUUUUAAAAAUUUACAUUAAUUUAUGAAAAAAUGAUCCAUUAAUAAUGAUUAUAAGAAAAAAUUACCUUAGGGAUAACAGCGUAAUUUUUUUUUUUAGGUCAAAUAAGAAAAAAAGUUUGCGACCUCGAUGUUGGAUUAAGAUAAAAUUUAAAUGCAAAAGUUUAAAAUUUUGAUCUGUUCGAUCAUUAAAAUCUUACAUGAUCUGAGUUCAAACCGGUGUAAGCCAGGUUGGUUUCUAUCUUUAAGAAAAUAAAAUAUUUUAGUACGAAAGGAUCAAAUAUUUAAAAUAAUUUUAUAUAAAUGAAUAUUAAUAAAUAAUAUAUAUAUAUAUGUAUAAUAUGUAUAUAC